GACGAACCGUGCGAACGUUAUUCGGAAUCAUUGGGCUUAAAGGGCGCGUAGGCGGCGAUAUAAGUUGGAAGUGAAAUCCCAUCGGCUCAACCGUGGAAUUGCUCCCAGUACUGUAUCGCUCGAGGGGGGAUAGGGGUCUGCGGAACUACCGGUGGAGCGGUGAAAUGUGUUGAUAUCGGUGGGAACGCCAGUGGCGAAAGCGGCAGACUGGACCCUUCCUGACGCUGAUGCGCGAAAGCGUGGGGAGCGAACAGG
rnacentral:rRNA from 1 species